GACGGCACUGCAGAAGCAGGCGAGUUCGCGAGUAUAUCGAUUUUACGAUCGUGUCUCUCGCCGCUAGUGCGUCCGUUUCCUUUAGUUUUUAGUGGCCGUGCUCGUCGUACAUGGAUAAAAUCGUGAAUGGGAUUAGUCGCUAGUUUUUCCACUUCGUACACCCGCUGACUCGCAAUUCUUCGUCACCCUCGCCAUGACCAAGGAUAGAUUAGCAGCCCUCGUCGCGGCCCAGUCGGACGACGAUGACGUGGCGGACGAUGUGUCCGUCAACGUCGGCGGGCAAGAUGACUUCAUGACAGAGUUUUUCGCGGAGGUGGAGGAGAUCCGCGAAAUGAUAGACAGGAUCCAGAUGAACGUAGAAGAUGUCAAGAAAAAGCACAGUGCCAUUUUAUCGGCGCCACAGACCGACGAAAAGGUCAAAAUGGAAUUGGAGGACCUGAUGUCCGACAUCAAGAAAACGGCCAACAAAGUCAGGGCUAAAUUAAAGGUGAUAGAGCAAAAUAUCGAGCAAGAAGAGCACACGAACAAAUCGUCGGCGGAUCUCAGGAUACGCAAGACACAGCAGUCGACGUUGUCCAGGAAGUUCGUCGAGGUGAUGACAGAGUACAAUCGAACGCAGACCGAUUACAGAGAGCGGUGUAAGGGAAGGAUACAACGACAGCUGGAAAUCACGGGGAGGACGACCACUAACGAGGAACUAGAGGAAAUGUUGGAACAGGGAAAUCCGGCUGUGUUCACGCAAGGGAUUAUCAUGGAAACGCAACAAGCGAAACAGACCCUCGCUGACAUCGAGGCCCGCCACGCCGAUAUUAUCAAACUAGAGAACUCGAUUAGGGAACUUCAUGAUAUGUUCAUGGACAUGGCCAUGCUGGUAGAAAGUCAGGGCGAGAUGAUAGAUCGCAUAGAGUACCAUGUGGAACACGCGGUGGACUACGUGCAGACGGCUACGCAGGACACCAAAAAGGCACUCAAGUAUCAAAGCAAAGCCCGACGGCUUUAACGCUUUCCGGUUGACUACGCUCUCCUCUAUCUUUGUAAAUUGAUGUUCAUCGUAAUUUGCCUGAUAAUAGUGUUCAUCAUUCUUAUAAUAAUUCUGGUGUAUGCAUUGUAAGAAGAUCAAGCCACGAUGCGAGAUAUUUCAGGGAACAGUGUGCAAGGCAGUCACGAAACAUGAGCCAGCUGACAUGACACACACGGUUUUCCGUUCGCGAUAAGCUCGGUGGGAUUGUUUUGCGACCGAUUCGAUGGAUCUUGACUGGCGAAUAGGAGAUAGAACGAGGUUUGUGACAGGGUUGAGGGAAUAAGAGAGAAAUGGAGAAACAGGACGACGGUGCGAGAUAUUUACGGAUCGUGAACGAAAAAAAGAGUGUCAAGUUUCACGGGGUUAUACGAGCUCGACGCUGUUCCAUCGAUCGUUGACCGACACGUGCUCCAGCGAUGUUUUUUUUUCCUUUUUUGUUCCGGCCUUUGUUUCUAGAUUCGCGGCUUCGAACUACCUCAUGAUUUCGACUGGUGUAUGCGGUGUCGUGGUAUUAGAGCUGUUCGAGAUCUCAUCUCGAAUAUUCGGGACAAUAUAGAGGACUUCUAGAGACGUAUAUUAUAAAAUAAACUCUUCCGUAAAAAGUAAUACGUUUGGUACGAAGAGAAAGAGUCGAACUCGUCGGUGAGGUUUAUCUAGCAGUGUCUACUUCAGACGCGACUAAUUGUUCGAACAGUCUCUUAUUCCUCGAUAUUUAUUAAUAUAUGUGUGUAUUAAUUUGAUAAAAGAUUUGUCGAACUAUGGUCCAGUAGCGUGGCGAGGUAGGAUUUGCUAAGUGAUCCUUACCGACCGAGUUGAAUUAGCAAAUCCGGAACAAAACGCAGUUAGAUUGUUCUCCGUACCAAGACUGUUAGUAUCGUCAGAAUACGGAUCGAAUGUGAGAGUAUAGAAGUUUUUUACCAAUUUUCUUUUUCUAUAAAUUUGAGCCUCGAAAUAAAUGAUCCGGCUAGCCCAACUUGUAGCAGGGCCCUGGACCAGACUCGAAUGUAAACCGAGACUUUGAAUAUUUUUAAUGCCGAGGAAAAGUAGCGUAUUCGUAGCCCAGGCUUAACUCGCGAAAGUGUCAAGGUUGUAGUGGUAACAUAUAAUUUAUUUCCGUUCAGUGGUAACAUUGGACUAAGUACUCGGGCUAGUACUUCAAUGUUAUCACUGCAGGGUUAAUGUCUGACAAUAAAUCACGCACGAAGGAUCGGGUGUAGCCCGAGGAAUCCUUCAAAUCUCGUAUAAUAUUAGAAAGAAAAAGGAUGAGGUGGUAUUUUGAAUUUUCAAAAGAAAAUUAAUCAACGCUCGCGAAAAACAAUAUUAAAUGAAACAAACUUUCGUAUACAAUAUUUUUGGUAAGACAAUUAACGAGACUUCCUCGUAACUUUUCCAUAACGUUCGCUUGUUAUUGCAUAGCUUGUGUUUACGAGAAACACGUAUACGGUUAAGAAAAGUGAUCCGAAACUCUUGAUAUUCUAUUCGUCGCGAAGUGUUUGGGGGCGUUACAGUCUCGUUUUCUCCGAACAUCCCAAAGUUGUCUCGCGUUGUCGGUACCCGUUCGAAAUCUCGAGCAGCUCCGUGCGAUGUGUCCAACGGCGACGGUCAACGAAUCGUUGGGAAACAGCGCCACGCUUACGCGACGCCGCGAUUUAUUCUUAAAUCGUCGCGCGUGUAGGUGUCGCUCGCGAUGCCCGACGCGGCGAAACGGAACGUAACGUUUCUCAGAAACGAUUGCCCCCGUCGCGAGCAGUCGCAAUACUCGCUCGCGACGCGUAUUAUGUACAUAAUUGCAUUUGUAUAGAAACAGGUAAUAAUAUUUACGAUUAAGAAACGGUCGAGUUUGUGGAACCGUUGAUUCCUUGUUGUUGCGCGCGGUCUAAGCGCAAGAGUAACGCUAGAUCGAACGAGAAGACACGAGUCGCGACGGAUACGAUGGCGACGCGUAUCGAUUUAUUUUUAUUCCUCGAUCGAGAGGUGCGGGAUCGAUUCGUCGGUUCUUCUGGGAAGAGACAGAAUCUUCGCUCGAACGGUUGGUUACCGUUGCGAAUUUUCCGCUAACGGUGGGAUCCGUUGAUCCAGCGAUUCGAAGAGGCGGACAGAAAUUGGCAGGCACACGCAGAGAGGCACACGCUGCGAUUCGAGAGGGCACGGUGACGCGUAGCAUAGCGGAAGGGAGGAUCGUAGCUGAAACACACGUAACGGUAGCGAUGAAACCCACCCACGUUGCGCGAUACGUUUGUAAUCGAUAAUUGUGUUUUAUGCCGAUCCGUUGAUGCCGAGCGCAGAAGAAGAUCAUGAUCAUGAUCUGCGUCGCCAUACUUGUCGUUGUUCUGGCCACCACCGUCGGUGGAUACUUUGGACUGUGAACGCCGAAAUCAGAACAGUCCAAAGGCGUCGCCGUCGUGUACGCAAAUGCGAGCCGUCGGCAGCAUCUGUACCCAGGCAAGUCGGCCCGAAACGUAAGAAAUCUCGCCGUUUCAAAGUUGAACGAUCGCCGUCGUCGGCGUGGUCGACAUCGACUGCAUCGACGGUACCGUCGCAGCAGUCAUCCACCGGCUCGGCCUCGAUCACGGCCGCGGCGUCGUCGACGAACACCACGUCGACGCUCGCCGCUCCUCGUCUCGCAUCGAUUGUCGCUGAAUUCGUCCUCCUGCUCCUCGAAUCACGCCUGUCCAGUGCCAGGCGGACAACCAGAACAACGAGACCAGCUCGGAGGACGAAGAAUCGCCGCUGCUGCCGCUGUCGUUGUUUGCACGAUCGUCUUCUGUCGCUGUCGCACUGUGCCGACCUCGACGAAAUCGUUGUAAUCCCGGUUUCGUUUCGUUCGGCUUUCAACGAGUCCGCCAACACCCGGACGGCUUCUGUCGCCGAGUCUCGUCCCGUUCCACGAGCACGCGAUCUUUUACACCAGAAGAGACGGUGGUCUCGCUUUCUUUCGCAAUUAAAUAAUUCGUACUUGGCGCGUUCUGCCCUUGCUAGACCGCUAGACGGGCGCCCCUCUCUUCCCCGCUCGCGAGAAACACCGCCGGUGGGUAACGGAGACGCGGCGCGUGCGCCAUCGCGCGGGCAAACGAAUCCAACCGCGGCCGGAGUAGCCUCGUCGGUGCAUCGUAACGGGAGAGAGGCGGUCGCGGCCAGCGCGUUCGCUCGUUGGAUCGGCUCGCGGCGUUAUUCUCACGAACGAACGUCACCGUGGGAAUAACAGCGACGGUCGUACGAAACGGAGCCGAGUCGCGAACAAGGCGCGCCACGCGUACCAGGGCUGUCCGGCCUACGAGAAGAAAAGAAACAGUAUUCGAAGCAACUGCCUGCGUCCAUCGCGAAUAACGUAUUAGCUGGGCCAUUCGAUAAACGCGAACGUACCGACGUAUCUCGUUCCGAGCCAAGCCUAACACCCAAUGGAGUUUUUCUGUAACGCGAGACGCGCUGCUGCGAGGCUACCAAGCGAUUCUCUCGUUCGUCGCGCCGUUUUUACGCGUCGGAUCUAGGCUCUGGUAGUCGCGUGAUAAACUCUACCAACUAAACCCACCCAAGUGCAAUCUUUUCACUGUGAUUUUUCAACGAGCUUGGAAAUUAGUUCUUUACAGAUCUCGCAUCUCGGAUUUCGGAUUUCGUGCGCGUUCGAAAUAAAAUGAACGGAUAUCUUCGAUUCGCGCGAUGCUUUUCUACCCGGCGUACACGAUCACUCGUUACAUAUCAGGCGAUUGCGUAUAAUUUCUACGCUAGACCUCUCUGCGCCGUAGCGGGGCAACGAUUCUCGAAAGUAGUGAUGUUCGAUCGUGAUUCGAUUCGCGAAUGUCAGACACGCGUCUCGUCUCUUAGGGAAAAGUAACGAGCGUUAUUCCUUGUGUCGGGUUUCGUCGAACCGACUCUCGUGACGCGAAUCUCGUUAACCCUCUAUUGCACAGUGUGUCGAUUCAAGAAUCUAAUCCUGUCGAUCCUAGUAAAGUAUGGCGAUUCGAUCAACUUGCUGUUUAAUUUGAGUAUCGAUUAAUUCGUGGACGUACAAGUAAUCGAGAGGUUCCUCGCUGAAAAGUGAGAGAAAAUCCGCGCAAUAGAGAGUUAAAGAAACGGCGGUAGAGUGGUUUAGCGACGCGUCAGGCAAAAAACAGUUUCGUUUAGACACGGGAACUGUCGACCGUCGACGGGGUAUCGCGUAACCGUGUCACGAGACCGCGUAGGAAGAAUUUCCAAGCGCGUCGCAACCUUAGGAUAAUUUUUGUUUUACUGCAUAUAUGUAUACAUAAGUAGCUUGAUUCUCGCUUUCGACGCUGUGUCUUUGAUUGGCCGACGCUGCUUUAUUGAAUCGAGAGAUCGAUGGGGCGUCUUCGACUUUGCGUUGCAGGAAACGCCAUUAGGUAUUGGGUUCGAUCGACCGAUCGACGUAAACGUUUCGUUCCGCUACGCGGACAAUGAAUGUUUUUUUUGUUUUUUCUUUUUCAAAAUCGACGAAACCCCAUUUCGUUCCUCGGUAGUCCCCAUUUUUGGCGGGCGUAAUCGACGCGCGUCGUAUCCCGUGCACCGUUGCAGCAACAGAUAUCGUUUCGAACCUAAACCUAGAACGGAACGCUUUUGUUCUCACCGUUUGUUUUGCUGCCACGAUACGUAAACGAUUCGUUCGUAGAUUUUGUCUCUGUUUUACGCGACCCUUCCUGUCAGCGGUCGCGGACAAGGACGAGACACGAGCGUUUAAUUUAUUUCGGUAUGGCACGACAUAGUGCAAUACUAUACAGUAUGAUACAGUGCAACACAGUGUGAUACGGUGCUUCUCGAGAGUUCAAAAGAAACAGACUCGCGUGACCGAAACUUUUUGUAAAGAUUGCUACGUUGUUAAUUAAGUCUUCGUUAUUCGUUUACCGAUAUUGCUCAAAAUCUAAUUACAUCGUGAAACGAGAAUAAAGAACUUGCACACAGAUUAGUACUUUUCAUUAGAGGUUAGGAAAUAAAAAUGAUUUCAUUGAAUCUCUGAAUUCGGUUUACAUUUUUAUCGAGUUCUUUUGCCCGUGAGUGGAGAAGCACUGGUAUACUACACUAUAGUACGGUGCAGCGUGAUAUUGUACAGUACUGUGCCAGUGCAGAUGAAUUAUGUUCGCAGCUGUUGCGUCCGCUAUCGCGUACUUCCGAAUUGAUUGGCGAGCAGUUCGACGACAACGACGACGAUGACGGCUCGUGCAAUUCGCGAACUCGAACAGACUAUUCGCCUUCGUUUAUUUAAAUGUUUCGAAUCAGCGUGGCUCUAUCGGUCGUCGAAGAUUCGUACGAAGUCGGGAAGAGUAUUUCGCGGGAGAAAUAUGUAUCGUCUUUGAAACGAUCGGUCACGGCGCGGAACACAAGAUGUUGGAGGAGGAGGGGAGAAAGAAAUAAGAAGUAAUGUGACGCAGAGGCGAAAAACAUGCGAGAAGGAGGGAAGAGGGUAUCUAUAAAGCUGCAGCAAUAAUAUAAUAUAGGUGUUACGGGGAAAUAAUUAACGGUAAUGCAAUCGUCGACGAUAAUAUCUGGGUCGUACCGAUAUACCGUAUGUACACGGGAUGUAUACAUAUGUAACACUAUAUAUAUACAGAGCAACACGCGCGCGAGAACGCGUUCGCGCGCACGUGAAACACACGUACACACGCGUGCACGCGUACACACACACAAAACACACGCUCGCACACAGCCCAGACACGUAUACGUACACGUACAUACACACACGUACACACGUACAUGCGCGUUACAUGUAUAUAUACAUAGUUAGUCGGCACAGUCGAAAAGAGUAAUAUAUUAACGAUAAUAAUUUAUUAUUCGCGACGCCUGUUGCUCGUGAACUAUCAAUUAAAUAAUCGCUUUUCAAGCAAGGAACGAGCGACGUUCGUGUUAAUGUUUUGUUGAUUAUAUUAUAUGAACGUUGAGGUGCAUAUAUUUAAAAGAUUAUGGGUUAAUGUUUAAAAAUGAUAUAAAGGUAAAAAAAACAGUUACGCUACACAGGCCACGUCGCGUACGUUGCUGUAAUAACGAUAUUAACAUAGUGCGAUAAUUGUGGUGGUGGCAAACGAUGACUACCGUGACGAUAAUGGCGGAGAAACGGAAGGAAAGUACCAUUACGAUGAUGAUGACGAUGUCGAGGAAGACGAUGAUAAUGAUAAGGAUAAUUAACGAUACUUAAAAUCACUUUGCAUUGUACAGAGGCAUAAUAAUUGUUAGUUUAGAUAGUUACGUUGCCACGAUCUAUUACUUAAUCAUUCGAUACAACUAAAGGUAAAGUUAACGUGUAAUCCCUCUGUCGCGAGCUGAUCAACCGAUCCGCCGGGUAAAAACCGUUACACGGCGCGUUUGUUGUGUCUGGCUUUUCGAAUCGACAAAGUUCGAGUUCCGUUCCGUCGUCGGAGUAGACGCCUGUCGUUCGUUUCUGAAUACCGGGUCGGGGGUCGCGUGAAAAAAUUCGUUACGAAUUUGUAUAUCUUGCGCGACAGACGCCUCUCGAUCGGAUUGUUCCGCAGCGAGCGACGCCGGCGCCCUCUUCGACUCGCGAGGUCCUCGUCACUUCGUACGGCGCGGCGCGCUCCUCCAAGCGGUGCUUCGCGUCUCCAACGGAAAUAUCGAUUCGCGAACCAAGCGUUCGUCGCUCCGACGAAAACAGUUACUCGGAUCUCUCUCACUCUCUCUUUCUCGGUGUUUAUUAAAUAUUUAGAUUUUGGUGGUUCGCGAGAUUCGUUAAAUUGCCGCGAGACGCGAAACGCUUUCCUCUUCACAGACUACCACCACCACACUCGAAGCAAUCUUUUUGUCGCGAAUACGUUGCCGGCUCUAAUAGUUAGUCGUUUGACUACUCAACCCGCGUACUGUCCGUUCAGCUCAGUACACACCGAGACGAGAAAGUCGCGGACACGAUUAAGACGCGCGUCGUCCCCUUGCGCGCAUGGAUUUUUUAUCCGAGCCUCACCGCUCUGAACAACAAUCUAUCGUCUAGGUUAUUUUUUAUUCUAGCUUUAAAUCUCGUACGUCGUUAGGGUUUUUCUCUUACGGGCGCGUGUACAGUGACUCUCGCGAUAGGAAUUGAGGAAUUGAACCUUCCUUUCUUACCAUCGAAUCAGUUUUCCGAGGCACGAUAGAUUUCGUCGGUACGCACCGUUACUUCGAAAAAAACUUGUCCGUACCGCCCACAGAUGCACGGUCGUCGUUUAGUGGAAAAGCGAUUACUUCCUAAGCACACGAUGCGUAAGGUAGAUGCGCGGAAAGUUGACACGUCAUCGACGGAACAACGUGCACGGCUGUUGCUGCUGCGAGCAGAGUUGGACAAAAUGUAAUCUGAUUAAUGAUUACCAUGUAAUCAAACCAGUGAUUAAUGAUUAUAAUUACUGAGUAAACAGUAAUCUUAGUAAAUGAAUAAUAUAAGUAAUCGGAACGAAUGUAAUCGUUAGACAUUUUUGAUUGCGUCAAUAAGUUAUUAAUAACAUUUAACAUGUUUAAAAUAAAUAUGUCUGUUACGAAUUAAUUUGAUCCAGGUUUGGGCAGAUUUUUAUCUAGAUAACGAAUAAAAAAUAACAAUAAUAUAAAUAAGGAAAGAAUACAUUACAUACACACACAUUUGUGGUUUGUAUACGGUAUUUGUACACAGUCUGUGACUUUUGUUUGCGACUAAGAUAUUUGCAUUUCAAGUUGUCUAUACGAGUAGUAUUUUAUUCUCUGCUAACGAGUCGUCGAUGCUGCAGUAUUCUUCCGCGCAUUCGUCUUGCGCAUCGUAUGCUUAGGAAGGGGCAGCUUCUUUACUAAUUACGUCGCGCGUAUGUGUUAGUAUAGACAAAUGUCUCGAAGCAAGGAUUACGUACGAUAAUCGACAGUGCGCGCGUUACUCGGUUUGGCCUAAGAACGAACGAGAGGCUUUCUCGAUAGUAGUCAAUCUUUAGCUUCGCUGUUUUCCUUGUUGACGAGCAGAGAUCGAAGAGCGAAUCUCCGAUCUUGUCCCGCGUGCGUUCGUGACUUAGUGUCCGCCUGUCUGUCCGUCUCUCUUUCCCUCUCGGUCUCUGCGUCCCAUUGUAAACGAUUCGCGCGCCAUUCCGUGAGUAGCAACGGAAGCUCGAUGAGUCGGUUGUUUGUGGUGAUUGACAACCAAACGUAGACUGAACUUUCUGUUAAAUAUUUGACAACAGAAUGCUCGAACGAAGAUAAAACGAACUCAAGUUUCUAGCCAAUGAGCAUUUUAUUCGAUAUAAAUUAACAUUUUUCAUCUACUUGCCGAUCUUGCACAACAAAUAUUUUAUAAUUUGACUAAUGUUAGUUGCAGUUUUGUGUCAACAAAGUCGUUAAUGUAAUCGUAAGUCUGCCUUUUUUCCAAAAACUGUUUGAUCGAAUUAUCAGAAUUAUUGCUGUUGUAUACUACCUCUAAAAUGUAUCAUUGUCAAAUCAUAGAAUAUAUGCCGAAUAUGGCCCAGCGAAUAGAUCGAUAACGUUAAUGUAAUAUUAAAUGAAUGCUCGUUGAUUAGGAAAAGGGUUGGGCAAAAUUCUUAUCCAGAUGAUAAUUUCGAAUAACGAAUAGAUGAGGCACAAGUGUCGAUUCGUUGAAUAAAAGUAAAUAUUUCGAUCAUAAAAUGAAAUAUUUCACGAGAAACAGAUAAAAAUUUAACUGUUGGAUCGAAUAAACAUCACGAAUACAUUGUUAUAGGUUAAUCUUAUUAGUUAUUCGAAUAAAAUUUUGCUCGACUCUGGCUAGAAGCAUGAAUUUUAUUCUUGACCCUGACGCGUCGAUCUCGUCCAUCGAGCAUGGAAACGGAAAACGCAGAAGGCAGACGAAGUGGGAAUCGAGGGGCAAGAAACAAACGACAGAAAAAACGGCGGUGGGGGGAGAGCGAGAGAGAGACGAGAAUCGUGACGAAGCAGAGGGAACGCGACAGAACGAAAGUGUCGAGAAAUGUACAUUGGUCGUGUCGCAUCGGUGCAAUUAUUACUUCGAGAGACUAUUUCAAUAACCUUAUGAGUGUCAAUUCCACUUUCAAGCGUAAAUCGUAAGUUUGCGAGAUGUUUUGAGAAAAAAAAAAGCAAAAAAAAAAACAAACGAACAAAAAAUAAAGAGCGAAUUCGAAGGGAAGUCGGUGUUAAAUUGUUUAACGUUUAAGGAAGGUUGCGCUGGCGCACCUCGCGCGGCGCCACGCGACAAAGUGAGAUUACUAAUAAAUUUACAUUACUGAGAAACAAACGUAGGGGAAUGAGAGAGCGGGAGAGAAAGGGGAAGAAAGUGCGAACGAUAAAGCGAGAAAGGGUGGGCGGAGAAUGAGGAGAGGACACGUGCAACGUUCGAGUCUGAAUGUUUUGACUGGGAAGUAAGGACGCGUGUGUGCGUGGGUGCGUGAGCGAGCGAGUGCGACGAGCGAAUGCGAGCGUGAGAGAAAUAUGAAAAACCAACAGAAUUUAGCACGUUCAAAGAAAAUACGAAAUACUUUUUAUCGUAGAUAUUUCAUAGGUGAGAUUCGUAAAAAUGAAACAAAAGGGGAAAAAAAGACAAAAAAGAAAUGAGACCUGUAUCAACUAAACGGUUACUUACUCAAUAAAUCAACGGUGUUUCUUCUGCCUAUAAAUCGUAUUUGCGUCUCGUGUUUUGUGCAUCGAGCGAGCACGGAUUUUCACUUCUCUCUCUCCCUCUCGAACGAGAAAAGAAUGAUAGAUCGUUAUUUCGUUCUCGUCUUUAACACGAUGUACAAUUUAUUGUUAUUAUAAUCAUUUAUUAUUACCACCAUCAUCAUCAUUAUUAUUAUUACCAUUAUUAUUAUUAUCGAUUAUUAUCAUCAAUUAUCAUUACUGUUACUAUUAUUGGUAUCGUUAUCGAUACUGUACAAAGUUGGCAAUAAUCUUAAGAGAUCCUCCGUCGUAAUCUUUAUUCCUUGAGGCGGGAAGAGAACGCGUGGCGAGGCGAGGCGAGGCUCGGACUCGUCCGAAGAAGGAAACCAAAAGAGAGGAGUGACGAUUACCGCAGCAGUAGAAAUAUAACAUGUGAUCAACUGAAUGUGCCCUUUCACCGUGUAACCAUGCACAAAGAUUAAAAUUCCUCUGUGAGUAUACACGUAUACAUAGCGGUAGACCUCCUGAAACCAAAAAAACCAAAAACCAACAACCGUGGAUCCGACUCUGUGGAGAGAGAGAGAACAAGGGACAGAGGUUAUGAACAGAGUAGGACGAACGUGAAAGUAGGAUCGAGGGAGUCGGAUCGGCGGCACGAAGAAACGUUCGGUCAACCAACGAGAGUGUCGAAUCGGCGGAUCGCUCGAGAUCGGUCGAGAGAUUCGCCGGUAUCACCUCGCGUUAUUGCGAAUCAUUUUCAAAAACUCCACUGACCUACUACGAGCGUAAAAAAAAAAGAAACAAAAAAAAAAUAUGAAGCCAAGCGUUUUACUGUACAAUUAUAUAUUCUUUUACGUUUAACGACUUACCAUUGAGUAGACGAGUAGUAUAUUUUACAUUACCGAAAUAUAGUAGCGUUAAUUGUCUUACCCUAAUUUUAUAUAUCGUCGAAGAUACGUAUCCGCAGGAAUAACGAUUUUAGUCAGCACUACAGUGAAGUUACUAUACGUCUGUAGAUAACAAAAUGGUCCGCAAAGAGAUUUUAAAAACCGACACGAUGUUCAAUGUAUUUAACGAUCUUCUCUCGAAAAAAUGAACAAUAUACAACAAUAUGUAAACGGGAGUAAAACGUUGCGCGUCCCAUUCAUUCGUCUCCUUCGCCCUCGUUGCACGCACAGGACAGCGAGAAAGGAAUAAAA